rnacentral:lncRNA from 1 species
GCGACUACUCUUGAGGAUGAGGCAGCCAAAUGAGCUAAAGAUUUCAAAGCUGAUGGGAAGCACUAUUAUAAUCUAAUGGCUAAAAUGGAGAAAGAAAUACAGUAAUUGCAAAAUCAACACUUUCAUGACUCCCAAUUGUUAGAAGCUUAGAACCAGCAGAUAUGGCGAUUACUUCAGGAAAAGGGUAGAAUUAAAGAAAG